UAUGCCUGUCCCUUUUCUCUCUCUAUCUCCCGAACCCUCCCUCACGAAUACUCCCCUCUCACAAACCCCUCUUCUCUCCCUAAGCAUCCCCUCUCUCUCGAUCUCAAGAAGACUCCCCUCUCUCACGCCAUAAUCCGCGUCCAUUUUAGGCUUUGGAGAAACAUAGGAUUGAUCAGUCGCCUGAACACACAAGCCUAUUUAUUGAGAAGCUGAAGAAAGUGUUGGAGGGCUGCCUAUGUUCUUCACAAAAAGGGUGAGAAGCUCCUGGUAAAAAUCCUGCAGUUUGAUAAAAUUGAAAGCCUACCGACCGAUUUUCAGCCCGAAAGAAAUCACCAAAGAAUAAACUGAUGUAUCGACUCACCAAUAGAAAGUUUCCCUAUGCAGAGUAUUUGGAACAACAUCCAGAAGCAUCUAACUGGGGGAUUGGGAUCUCUAGUUUUAGAAAAAAUGCAUUGUUUCAAGAUUACCAUGGACUCAAAACUUUCGGACAGGAGUUUUUUUUUCCAGAUGGCUUUUUCAUUGUUGAAAUUCAAUGUCUUGAGUAGUUUAGUCUAGGAGCUUAUUUGCAUUGAUUACAACCUAAUGUAGCUUAUAUUGUUGUAUUUUCAUGUUAGCAGGUGUCAUGUACUUGUUGGGAAUGUCUAACUUGAAAGUAAUAUAACUGCAGUAUAGAUCCAUAUCCUCAGUACGAAUGUUGAGCAAGGGAAUCACAAUUUUGUUCUUUCUGUUUUAUUAAUUUGCUAAUUGCAAUCCUUUUGGCAAAUGUUCUGCAACAGAAGAUGGUGGAAAACUGAGUACAUGGUGUCUAGGUUUCAGUUACCAUAAAGAUCUGGCCUAAAGUUGUAACUUCAUCUGGUUUUUUUCGUGUCUCCUUUUUCCUUGCACCUGACUAAACUAUCUAGAACUUAUUUUCAGCAAAUGGCACCUGCAAAGCAAAUGAAGGUGAUUCAAGAAUUUCAGAAGCAAUCAGCACAAAUGGAUAUAACGGUAAGAUGUUAUCUUUUAUUUCAAUUGUGAAAUAUUGUGGUGUUGUUACUGACAAAUGACAAUGUCAAAGUCCCAUGGAAGUUUAUUCUACUGUUCUAUAGCUGUUACCAUUCAUUGGGUUACAUUCAUG